GGGUGUAGCUCCAAUUGGCAGAGCAGCGGAUUCCAAAUCCGCGUGUUGGGAGUUCGAAUCUCUCCACCCCUGCCA
rnacentral:tRNA from 1 species